rnacentral:lncRNA from 1 species
UUGGAUGUAUUUUUAUUAUAUUAAUGUAGUAUAUAUGUAAUUUAUAUGUAUAGUAUAAUAUAAUAUAAUUUUAUUUUAUUAAUUUCCAGAUCUGGCCUAAAUUUCGUGCCUUUAUCACUUCUUUUUGACCCUGAGGAAACCAUGUUUUAGUUCCACAUUUGGAGAAGAGGUGCCUUCUGACAACAUCUCUUCUAUAUUCAGGUUAAUCAAGACAUCUGUGCAUACCAAAACAAAAGACUUUGAGGCUUCUGGCUUCAACCGUGAGGAAAUGUCGUUCAGAUUUGGUCAACACCUCAUCAAGCCCUCUGUGGUUUUUCUCAAAACAGAACUGUCCUUUGCUCUUGUGAACAGGAAACCUGUGGUACCAGGACGUAUCCUUUUUUUUAAAGAGGAAAAAUAAAAAGCCUCUGAACUUAACAGACCACAGGAAUCCAGCAGGGGGGUCCAAUGUCCAUCCUCAAGGGUAAAUAAGGAAUCCACCUUUCUCCCCCUUUGGAGAAACCAGGUAAGAUGUUGCAUUUAUUCUGAAUCCAGUUGGUGGCACCAGUAAUAUGCUUGAUCAAUGUUGCAGAACUUCUGAAAAGAGUUGCUUAGCAACCGUGGCUUUGGAGGUGAAUUUUUACUUGACCUUUUCACUAUCAUAGCUGUGUAAAUAAAUAGGUGCUUCUAAAGUGGGCCCA